GUGUGCGUGUAAAACAUAAACUAUCAUGUGUGUUACAGUGGUAUCAUGGAUGCCUCGGAUUUACAGCUCUAUAAGCUAUGAUUAUGCUAUGAAGAGACAUGCUGUGAAGAGCUACCUUCAUAUGAGCUGAGCUGAUCCUGAUUUGAGCUCCUUCAUGUUGAUACGAGGUAUCCUGAGUAUCUAUGCUAAUAUGAGAUGAGGUCAAAAGCAAUAAAUAUUCCCAC
rnacentral:lncRNA from 1 species